rnacentral:rRNA from 1 species
AUUGAACGCUGGCGGCAGGCCUAACACAUGCAAGUCGAACGGAGCGCCGGUCGGGUACGUAAUGCUAAGGAAUCUGCCUCGUAGUGGUGGAUAACGUCCGGAAACGGGCGCUAAUACCGCAUCCUAUCAGAUGCGCCUAGGUCGAAUUAGCUAGGUGGUGGGGUAAAGGCCUACGAAGGCGACGAUCCGUAACUGGUCGGAGAGGAUGAGCAGUCCCACUGGAACUGAGACACGGUCCAGACUCCUACGGGAGGCAGCAGUGGGGAAUAUUGGACAAUGGGCGAAAGCCUGAUCCAGCCAUGCCGCGUGUGUGAAGAAGGUCUUCGGAUUGUAAAGCACUUUAAGUUGGGAGGCGUUACCAACAGAAUAAGCACCGGCUAACUUCGUGCCAGCAGCCGCGGUAAUUC